rnacentral:rRNA from 1 species
UACGUAGGGGGCUAGCGUUGUCCGGAAUCAUUGGGCGUAAAGCGCGCGUAGGCGGCCCUGUUAGUCCGCUGUAAAAGUCAAAGGCUCAACCUUUGAAUGCCGGUGGAUACUGCAGGGCUAGAGUCCGGAAGAGGCGAGUGGAAUUCCUGGUGGUAGCGGUGGAAUGCGCAGAUAUCUGGAGGAACACCGGUGGCGAAGGCGGCA